rfam:TPA: Bos taurus chromosome 1, whole genome shotgun sequence.
UCCCUGGUAGCUCAGUUGGUAGAGAAUCUGCCUGCAAUGCAGGAGACCCAGCUUUGAUUCCUGGUUUGGGAA